GUUUCCAUGUUGCAGAGUGAGCGGCAAAAGCUCAAAUUUGAAAUCUAGCACCUUCGGUGUUCGAGUUGUAAUUUGAAGAUGGUAACCUUGGGUUUGGCUCUUGUCUAUGUUCCUUGGAACAGGACGUCAUAGAGGGUGAGAAUCCCGUCUGAUGAGAUGCCCAUUCCUAUGUAAGGUGCUAUCGAAGAGUCGAGUUGUUUGGGAAUGCAGCUCUAAGUGGGUGGUAAAUUCCAUCUAAAGCUAAAUAUUGGCGAGAGACCGAUAGCGAACAAGUACAGUGAUGGAAAGAUGAAAAGAACUUUGAAAAGAGAGUGAAAAAGUACGUGAAAUUGUUGAAAGGGAAGGGCAUUAGAUCAGACUUGGUGUUUUACGAUUAUCUUCUCUUCUUGAGUUGUGCACUCGUAUUUCACUGGGCCAGCAUCGAUUCGGAUGGCAAGAUAAUGGCAGUUGAAUGUGGCUUCACUUCGGUGGAGUGUUAUAGCUUCUGCUGAUAUUGCCUGUCUGGAUCGAGGGCUGCGUCUUUUGACUAGGAUGCUGGCGUAAUGAUCUAAUGCCGCCCGUCUUGAAAACACGGACCAAAA
rnacentral:rRNA from 1 species